GGAAAAAGGAAGUGUUGCUCUCUCUUUCCCCUCGGCUCCUGCUCCAGCGGCACGAUGUGAUUCACCAGCAAGGAGGGACGCCAAUAAGGUGUCUGAUAAGAUAAGUCCCAUAAAAUAUAUAGAUGUAUGAUAAUUGAGACUGAGCUAACAGAUGAGAGUCCUAGUCAUUGGCCAAGCAGCUUUGUAACUAAUACAAGUCUCUCUGUGUAUUCAUUUGGGCCUAACUCGGGCGGUUGGCUGGUGUAAAGCUCGCUCGUGGCGGUGGGGCUCAGGCGGCUUUUGGCAAAAAGAUUUAUCAGAACAGGGGUGUCUAUGAGCCCCUUUAUAGAUGAUUUGAGAGUUCGUGGGAGUACCAAGUCUGAUGGCACAUGGGAGAUGGCAAUAGGUGGACCUAUAUGAGUUUGAGGAUUGUACAUACCAAGUUUCAGGCUAGUUAAGACUACAAAAGUCUUGAUAAGUAGCUUAGGCUGUGUUUGCCGUAUGGGGGAUCCCCUUAGGUGGAGUUACAAACAUGCAAAGAAAUUUCACACAUGAGACCCUGCCUCAAUAAACAAAUAAAUGAACAAAUAAGUAAUGUGCAUGGGAGAAUCACAUAAGUUAUAUUCUAAUACUACAGAAUUUUAUGUAAGAAACUUGAACAUUCAUGGAUUUGGGCAUCCAGAUGAGGUACUGGGACUGAUCUUGUGUGAAUACCGAGGAACAAUUCUAUCUUUGUAGUCUCAUUUGAUUUCUAGUUACUUUGUACAAUUGGAAACAUUUAUAUCUGAAUACAUGAAGAAAAGGAUAAUACACACAAUGUGAUCAUGCUUGAUUCUUCUAGAAAUGUGAAAGCCAAUAAAAUGAGUGUGCCUGGAGCAAGAUAUGCUAAACUAAACUUGCUUCCAGCAAAGUUAAAAAAUUUAGGACACAAGAUACAAAUUUUAUAAUAAGAAAAACAUUUGUGUUUAGUUUUGUAAAACAAAAUGUGCUUAAGGAAAAUUAAUUUCACAUUUGUAACACGAAUAUAAGAGGAAACAGAACUAUACUGUUCUUAUCCAGUAUGCUAUUUCGUGAUUAAUAGUAGUAGUGGUGCCACCAGAUCAAAACAAUUGAGUGUCAUUCAGUUAUUUUCCCUCAGAAUAUUACAUAAAAUCAUGAAACUUGUGUUCAAGAAUUACUCAGACAAUGAUAUAGUAAAAGCUGUCCUACAUGGCUUUCUCUAUUUAUUAUUUAACAUUUUAGUCAACUGUUUUUGGAAGUUAGCUUAACAUGGUUAAUUCCUGGCUAGCAUGUAUGUUCAGACUCUUGAGACUAGACAGUCAUCAUGAUAACUUAAUAUAGGCACUGUACCAAGCAUUGUGAGGAGACUUCCAAUUUUCCCUCCCAGGUAUCAAAUAUUAUUAUCUUUUGACCUCUUAUAAUCCCCAUUAUCUGUUAAAUGAAACUCAUACUUCAGUAAACAAGUCUUAAGUGUCCUCAUGAUGUUUUCAUUCCAGUUGAAAGGACUGAUAAAAUACGGAAGACAGUUUUUUUUUCAAACUUAAGACCACUUAGAAACUGGAUCAGAGUGAACAGACACCAACCUGAAGUUUCAAAUGCAACAUAGUAUGUGAUAAAAUUGUACAUUUCAAGUAAAAGGAGAAAGGAUAGUAUGGGGCAUUGAAAGAUGAAUGAGGUUGGGAAGGAAGGAAGUGAAAGUUUUUGAAAAGAGGACAGCAAUAAGAAUGAAGGAUCCAUAUACUAUUUUUUUUCUGAACAAGUAUAGUUUGAUGCCAAGGGCUUAUUGGGCAUUCUGUAGGGACAGCACUCUUUCCUGGUCUCCUGCAACUUUCUGCCCUUCUUAAUGUUGAACGAAUGAGGAAAGCCUGACUUAUAGUGCAUGAGAGUGCUGGCCAUAUUCGUGUAGGGAGACACAUCAAGGGUUGCCUUUACUGGCACUUGCAAUCAAUGCCUGUUGACAGAACUCUUUUUUUUUUAGAGCUGGAAUCCUGGCAGUUCCACAGACCUUGCACUGGUCUCCGUAGGAAGCCUGGCAAAGGACAUAAGAAACUUGCUCCAGCUUAUUCAGAAUGGCAGCUGAUUGAGUCUCACAGAAACCAAACAUCAAAUUGAGCUUGAGGAAUUGGAUUAUGUUAUGUUCAUAUACACCAAGGGACUUCUUCUUCCAGACCAAAUCAAGUAAAAUUGACUGGACAUUCUCUAUUCUCACAACAGUUAGAUAUUAAAAAGUACAAAAAAUUGCUAUUUUGACACACUGGAUAUAGCAUCAAAGGACAAUGAUGCUGAGAGACAAGGUCAGAUGAGCCCUCUUCUACUGAAGUUACAACCUCAAGAAAAUUUCCAGAUGGUGACCUCGAGAGAGAAGACCCUGGAAUGAAAUAUGGAUGGAAAUCCAGGGAUCACAGGGCAAGGAACCAGAGAGGCAGCUGAUAUACAACGAAAAUUCUAUUAUUCUGUGGAGGACCCACUUUGAAUAUCCAGUUAAAAAUAAAUCAGAACAUCUACAAAGAAGCUAAUCAGGAAGGCAAAACGUAUUUAAUGGAACCUGGCCAUACAGGAUGCUGCAACUGGUCAUAAUGAUGUGAAUAAGAUGGCCUUAAAUGAGAGCGUUGUCAGUUCUUCUGCAAAGUCCCUUAACUAUGCUGACCUAACUUGGAGGCUUCCUCUUCUGAGGUUACUCCUCUGGUUCCUCGCUGUUUUGGAUUGCUAAUUAUACUUUCAUUUGUCUGUCCAACCUUUCAACCAGAUUUAGGUAGGUAACUAUCAAACAUGUUCAUCUACCCAGAAUCCCCAGUCAUUUUACCUUGUUCAUUUUACCAUAUUUAUUAGCCUUUGUCUUUUUUUCUUUUAGAACAACAGCAGUAGUAAGUUACUCUCUAGAGUUUAUGACUCUCAGAGCUUUUGACCAGGCUUUCAGAACCAGACCUAAAUUCUUACCUGUGGAAUAGGCUCAAAUUCAAUCAGAAAGUGAUUAGUUGUACUCAUAACCCUUGUGCUACUACUGUACUCAUAGGAACAUUUGCCUGCUCAUUGCUAUCAUGAUGUGCAGGGCUAGCUUCAGGAAUACCAUUGGUGUAUUUUCUCUCUGAAGAGGGCCCUGGGUAUCACUUUUCAUCACUAUGAAAGCUAGUCAGCAGGGAGAAAGUUUUCAGUAAUUGCCAACUUUAUUUCUCUAUGUCCUGCAACUGAAAUAGGUUGUAUUUUCAGAAUAAGAUUUUACCAUCUGAUUCUGAUGCCAAGAGUAGCGGCAAAAGACAUGUCAUUUUGAUGGACUUCUUGAGGGUCUCUCUGAUCAGUAACUUAUAGGCAAGUAUCCCAUGCCUGGUACUGAGAGAUUUUCAUUUAAUAAUUCAUAUCUUCUAGGGGAAUCGUUUUCUACCCUUGCAGGGUAUCUGUGUUUGAGCUCUGUCUAUAGUUUUAAUUGUAUUCUCAAUUAUCUUACAAAGUAGUGGCUUUCCAUAGGGGUUUUUCAUAUAUUCUUAGUUUUGAUUAACCAACCCUGUCCCCUUCUGUUAGUUGUUGAGGGAAACAAUCUGUCUAUUCUCCUCAAUCAUUAAGUAUGUUUUGACUCUCUACUAAAUACUGGACUCUAUCCUAGACACUAGAGGUACAGUAACAUAUAGGACAGCAUUUGUCCACUCUCUCAAGGAGCAUACAUUUUAGUAGACACUCAAAGUCAACAAAUAAGCAAUCAGGAUAUGUAGAACAUGAUAAGAUAAGGUAGGGUCAAAAUUGAGAAUAAUUUUAAGUAGGACAACAGACUACAGAGAGAUAGUAGUACCAGAAUAUUGGCAAGGAUGGUCAGAAAUCCUUUCAGGAGGUAGCAUUUGUAUUCAGAUAUACUUACAACAAUUUCAGGGAAUCUAGGAGAGAAGUUCUGUAUGGUCACCAUGUGCUGAGUACAUUACAAGGUAAAGAUACAAAGGCUAAACUGGAGUCUAUAAAGGGGAUGGGGCAAAAUAAAUGAAAGCUGAGUUUUGAGGUAGAAGACGUGGCCUGGAAUAUGAAUGGAUAUUGGUCUUUGCUUUUACUCUUUUUUGGGGGUAUACAUAAAGCACACAAAUAUUACUUGUUAAGUUACAUGAGCAGAUACAUUUCCCAUCUAAAAUGCAAAAGGCUUCUAAUUUCUUCCUUUCUUUACAAACAGUUGCUAAUAUAAUUCUUUUAAUUUCAGCCAUUCUGAUAGGCAUACAUGUGGAGGUAUUUUAGGGGGUGGGAGAUUUUUACAUAUAUUGUUUGUAUAGCAUACCUACAACUUAAGUACUUGGCAUAUUGUAUUCUCAUAGAUAUUUAUCAUUAUAUAUAUGUAUAUGUAAACAUUCCCCCCCCCCACACACAAUCUACCACCUGGAUUCAAUAUAAUGCCAGCAUACGCUAGACAUCUUUCUUAUCUUCUUCCAGGAGUGAUUAAUCCUUGGCACUUGCCUUUCAUUCUCCACACAGAACUUCUGUCCCAGAUUCUACCCAAUUGUCAUUAGCACACCUCAGUUCAAAUAUCACCCCCUGAGAAGCUUUCUGGGUACACUAGCUAAAAUUUCCCCAACUAUCAUGAUACCCUUUGUCCCUUUGAUUAAUUUUGUUUACUUUUGAACAAAAUAUAAGCAAGCACUGCAUGCAUUCUUUUGGGUUAAGAAGAAGUGUGGCUAUUUCACAAUUUGUCUUACUCUUGAUAGAUUUUGUGUUGUGUCAGCUCUCAAGAUAUUAUGACUAAAGCUGUUAUAAACAUCCUGGUACAUGCCUUUGAUAGAUGUGUGUACUCAGUUAGAACAUAUUUGCUUAUUUAACAGAUGUCAGAAAACAGUUUUUUAAAGUGAUAGUAUCUUAUAUUCUUCUUUAAAAAUGCAAAAAGGGUUCUGAUUUCUUCCCUUCUCUACAAACACUUUCUAUUAUCAUUGUUUCUAAU
rnacentral:lncRNA from 1 species